rnacentral:rRNA from 1 species
GACGAACGCUGGCGGCGUGCCUAAUACAUGCAAGUCGAGCGAAGUUUUUCUGGUGCUUGCACCGGAAAAACUUAGCGGCGAACGGGUGAGUAACACGUAAAGAACCUGCCUCAUAGACUGGGACAACUAUUGGAAACGAUAGCCAAUACCGGAUAACAGCAUUAACUGCAUGGUUGAUGUUUAAAAGUUGGUUUUGCUAACACUAUGAGAUGGCUUUGCGGUGCAUUAGCUAGUUGGUGGGGUAAAGGCCUACCAAGGCGACGAUGCAUAGCCGACCUGAGAGGGUGAUCGGCCACACUGGGACUGAGACACGGCCCAGACUCCUACGGGAGGCAGCAGUAGGGAAUCUUCCGCAAUGGGCGAAAGCCUGACGGAGCAACGCCGCGUGAGUGAAGAAGGAUUUCGGUUCGUAAAGCUCUGUUGUUAGGGAAGAAUGAUUGUGUAGUAACUAUACACAGUAGAGACGGUACCUAACCAGAAAGCCACGGCUAACUACGUG